UACGUAGGGCGCAAGCGUUGUCCGGAAUUAUUGGGCGUAAAGAGCUCGUAGGCGGCUUGUUGCGUCGGAUGUGAAAGCCCGGGGCUUAACCCCGGGUCUGCAUUCGAUACGGGCAGGCUAGAGUGUGGUAGGGGAGAUCGGAAUUCCUGGUGUAGCGGUGAAAUGCGUAGAUAUCAGGAGGAACACCUGUGGCGAAGGCGGCCCUCUGGACGGAUACUGACGCUGAGACGCGAAAGCGUGGGGAGCAAACAGG
rnacentral:rRNA from 1 species